GUCGUGGUUUAACCCCAGCCAGCAACUAAGCACCACGCAGCCGCUCACUCACUUCCCCCCGCCAGCGGGAUGGGGAAGAGAACCGGGGAGAAAAAAAAAUAAAAGUAAAAC